rnacentral:rRNA from 1 species
CUGACGUUAGCGGCGGACGGGUGAGUAACACGUGGGUAACCUACCUAUAAGACUGGGAUAACUCCGGGAAACCGGGGCUAAUACCGGAUAACACAUGAAACCGCAUGGUUUCAUGAUGAAAGACGGUUUUGCUGUCACUUAUAGAUGGACCCGCGCCGUAUUAGCUAGUUGGUAAGGUAACGGCUUACAAGGCAACGAUACGUAGCCGACCUGAGAGGGUGAUCGGCCACACUGGAACUGAGACACGGUCCAG